rnacentral:tRNA from 1 species
UGGGGUGUGGCUCAGUGGCACAGCACGUGGCCAGCAUGCAUGAGGCCCUGGAUUCAAUCCCCAGCUCCCCGC